rnacentral:rRNA from 1 species
UACGUAGGGUGCAAGCGUUGUCCGGAAUUAUUGGGCGUAAAGAGCUCGUAGGCGGCUUGUCGCGUCGGCUGUGAAAACCUGGGGCUCAACCCCGGGCCUGCAGCCGAUACGGGCAAGCUAGAAUUCGGUAGGGGAGACUGGAAUUCCUGGUGUAGCGGUGAAAUGCGCAGAUAUCAGGAGGAACACCGGUGGCGAAGGCGGGUCUCUGGGCCGAUAUUGACGCUGGAGGAGCGAAAGCAUGGGGAGCGAACAGG